AGCGAACGCUGGCGGCGUGCUUAACACAUGCAAGUCGAGCGAAGGUGUUUCAAGGGUAACCUUGAGAUACACUUAGCGGCGGACGGGUGAGUAAUACGUGGAUAACUUACCUCUAGGCCUGGGAUAACCCCGGGAAACUGGGGCUAAUACCUGAUAAGACCACAUUGUCUACGGACAAAGGGGUAAAAGGUGGCUGUGCAAACAGCUAUCGCCAAAAGAUAGGUUCACGUCCCAUCAGGCAGUGGUGAGGUAAUGGCUCACCAAACCAAAGACGGGUAGCCGGCCUUGGCGGGUGAACGGCCACACGGGGGCUGAGACACGGCCCCGACUCCUACGGGAGGCAGCAGUGGGGAAUAUUGGGCAAUGGGCGCAAGCCUGACCCAGCGACGUCGCGUUGGGGAAGAA
rnacentral:rRNA from 1 species